GAUGAACGCUAGCUACAGGCUUAACACAUGCAAGUCGAGGGGAAACGCCAUCGUAAGCUUGCUUUUGAUGGGCGUCGACCGGCGCACGGGUGAGUAACGCGUAUCCAACCUGCCCAUCACUUGGGAAUAACCUUGCGAAAGUAGGACUAAUACCCAAUGAUAUCCCACGAAGGCAUCGGAAUGGGAUUAAAGAUUUGUCGGUGAUGGAUGGGGAUGCGUCUGAUUAGCUUGUUGGCGGGGUAACGGCCGACCAAGGCCACGAUCAGUAGGGGUUCUGAGAGGGAGGUCCCGCACAUUGGAACUGAGACACGGGCAAAACGCCUACGGGAGGCAGCAGUGAGGAAGAAUGGGCAAUGGGCGAGAGCCUGAACCAGCCAAGUAGCGUGCAGGAAGACGGCCGUAUGGGUUGUAAACUGCUUUUAUAAGGGGAUAAAGUGGGUCACGUGUGACUUUUUGAAUGUACCUGAUGAAUAAGGACCGGCUAAUUCCGUG
rnacentral:rRNA from 1 species